GUGGAGUUUGUUUAAAAAUAUUUGUACAUGCCUAGGGUACUGUCAGAGUUCUAAGAGCCUUGAUUCUGUUUGGUCCCAGGCCUCUUCCCCUGGGCAGAAAAGACUUGGCUAAUGUUUCCUUUACUCCUGGAAUGAGAUUCUUUCUUGUCAGUGUUUUAGUAACUAAAGCUCUUAUCAAUCUGAAAACCAUUUCUCUCCACACUACCCUAACUACAUUUUCUUAAUUAUAAUGUAAAUUUUGACAGUCCUUUCUCUCAUGAAAAUCAUUAGGACUCUAUCCUUGUCACUGCCUGCCAACCCAACUCUGUCAGUUACUGAAGAGCAGCAGAGCCUCUGUAGAGACCAGAACAUCUGAUGAUCACACAUAAGGACUGAGGCUCCAUUUGCACACACUGCCCAAGGAUGGUGAUAUGGUGAGCUAGCUAAUAGGAAGGCUAGCCUUUUAGAAACAAACUCAUGGGACCAGACUGCCUAACAAUGACCAUGCAGCCAGCUUGCCUUGAUGGAAUUAUUCAUGUGGAAACACAUGACACAAGUCUGGAAGGCUCUAUAACUCAGCCACUGAGCCUUAUUUAUACUUUCCAAUGAGGAAUAAUUACAGAUGACAUUGAUUAUUUGAUGUGUGAUGCAUGGUACUAUAAACACCUAGAAUCUCCCAGCACCCCCUAAAGAAAGUUCUAUUCUUAUCAACCUUUUAGUGAUGAGGAAACCAAGGCAGGAAGGUGCCAUACUGUUCCCUGGGUGCCUCAUACACUAUGUACCCUGAGCUGCAGUGCCUCGAGAACAUAGGAGUUUAACUACUCUAUGUUGCCUAAGUAUAUGGCUGUUGAAGCUCUUAGGUCCACAGGGAACCUGCCCAGAGAACUUCACCUUCCUAAGGGACCGUCUACAAAUGUACAGUGAGUCCAAGUCGCCCAUAGCCUUUGGACUCAGGGCACCUUUGGUGUCCUCAGCACUGUCCACACCAGCUUUCCCAUGGAUGCACAGGGAGGAGAAUAAAUUGCAGGCUCUUUUUACUAUUCUUUUUGCUUCUUUCAAGAGAAAUAUUGGAAAACUUUUCUUGUACUUUUUUUCCUCACAGAUUCCACAACUUUUAGAACAAAACACAGCAGAAAAUUUAGCUGUCUCACCUCUGGCCAGUGUAGGGGCUUCAGUAAAAGGUCAUCCAAGGACCACUUGUUCACCAUUGCCAGAGAAGAGGAUGCUAUGGGCCAGUGUGGCAGUGCAUAUAGCACCUCUUUACUGCCAUUCUUUUCCCAUUCUUCUAGUCAAUCCUAUGAAGAAAAGAGUGUCUUUGUUUGAACAGAAGGAUACUGAGGCUACGAUGCCUUCCAGCCCUGUUGGAGAUAGGAACUUAUGGGCUCAGGAGGGAGGGCAAGGAGUUUUAUUAAGAUCACUAGUGUUACCCCACCCUCAUUCUGCUUUUAUUCCAGGUAUACUCUCCUCUCCCCUCUUUAUGACCUGUUCUCCAAAGAUGUUCCACCUCUCGCACACAUCUCCUUUAUCUUCUGUCUUAUCCUCUAUUCCCAUCGAUUGCCUUACUCUUUUAGUGUGCUCUUGUGUUUACUCUUCAGGUGUGUGUCUAUGCACACACUCACUCCCAAGCACCACAUACACAGCUACAACUGGAGCAAUGUACAUUUGAGUUAAAAACUCCAACAUGAGUGAAUUGGGGGUAGUCUGCAGAAGAUUCUACACGUUGCUGGAGGACUUUUGCCCUCAGAGAGAUGCAUAUCACACCCUGCCAAUGAAUCUCAGUUCUUACCUAGAGGAACUGUCUAGAAAGGCUAAUGUGAUUGAGCCAGUAUUAAACCUCAUUUCUAAGCUGCCAAACAGGUCUUAAGAGAGCCACUUCUGUCCACCUAACCACCUUCAGCUCUGUGUCCAACUGAGAUCUCUAUUGUUUCCUCUUGAAUGUCCAUGAACCACUGUACAGCAUCAGACCCUUAAAUGAGUGUGCAAUUGUUUCUCUUGAAGUUUGGUCCAUUCGUUACUUUGAAUUAACUGCACUCCUUGAUAUUCAAAUGUUCUAUUAAAAAAUAAUUGUGAAAAACACUCCACUCCUGUAGAAGAAAGAGGUGGUGUAAUGUGACCAACUCCAACCACAACAGUGUUCUUUAAGAGAUUUAUUGUACGAUUAUGAGAAAUGAAGUAAUCGUCUAAAUAAUAAACAAAGCUGUCAGUAACUGUUAA
rnacentral:lncRNA from 1 species